GCCAGUGUGACAUAGUGGUUUGAGUGUUGGACUAUGACUCUGGAGAUCAGGGUUUGAUUCCCAGCUCAGCCA
rnacentral:tRNA from 1 species